GACGAACGCUGGCGGCGUGCUUAACACAUGCAAGUCGAACGGAGCGAAUGAAAGCUUGCUUUUAUAAGCUUAGUGGCAAACGGGUGAGUAACACGUAGACAACCUGCCGACAGGAUGGGGACAACAUUCCGAAAGGAAUGCUAAUACCGAAUGAAGCGCAGGAGAGGCAUCUCUCCUGCGUGAAAGAUGGCCUCUAUAUAUAAGCUAUCACCUGUUGAUGGGUCUGCGUCUGAUUAGCUGGUAGGUGAGGUAACGGCUCACCUAGGCGACGAUCAGUAGCCGGUCUGAGAGGAUGAACGGCCACAUUGGGACUGAGACACGGCCCAGACUCCUACGGGAGGCAGCAGUGGGGAAUCUUCCGCAAUGGGCGCAAGCCUGACGGAGCAACGCCGCGUGAGUGAAGAAGGUCUUCGGAUCGUAAAGCUCUGUUGAUGGGGACGAACGUGCCUAAUGCGAAUAGUUUUAGGGCAAAUGACGGUACCCAUCGAGAAGCCCGG
rnacentral:rRNA from 1 species